CAACUGAAGGGAAAAUCAGAGUUAGAGCUUGGAGCAGACAUUGAAAUAUUUACAGGUCAUAAAGAUUAGAGAAAUUGUUGGCUUGAAGUUAAAAAGGAGAAGAAAAAAACUAGAUUUUGUGGUUGAGCAGAGCUGCAUCAAUUGUGGUGUUUGCAUGGGCAAGUACUUCAGUGAGACAUGUAAACUCAAUGAUGAUGAUGUAAGUGAUUCAUCUUGGUCGAAUAGACAGGAAGAUUGAGUUUCCUCUCCCUGAUAUCAAGACAAGGAGACGCAUUUUCCAGAUACACACAUCAAGGAUGACAUUGGCUGAUGAUGUCAACUUAGAAGAAUUUGUUAUGACUAAAGAUGAGUUCUCUGGAGCUGAUAUAAAGGUAAUAUGUACUGAAGCUGGUUUACUUGCUUUACGAGAACGCCGAAUGAAGGUUAAGGUCUUUUGCUAGUGUAUUAGCAAUUAUUUAUACUUCAGUGAGACAUGUAAACUCAAUGAUGAUGAUGUAAGUGAUUCAUCUUGGAACAAAGGAAUUUUGUGUUUGUGUGUGUGUGAGAGUAUGUUCUCAAUAACAAUUAGUAUUGUUUUC